GACAGAGGGUGCAAACGUUGUUCGGAUUUACUGGGCGUAAAGCGCGUGUAGGCGGCCUUGCAAGUCGGAUGUGAAAGCCCACGGCUCAACCGCGGAAGUGCAUCCGAAACUGCAUAGCUUGAGUCUCGGAGAGGAAGGUGGAAUGCUUGGUGUAGAGGUGAAAUUCGUAGAUAUCAAGCAGAACACCUGCGGCGAAGGCGGCCUUCUGGACGAUGACUGACGCUGAGACGCGAAAGCGUGGGGAGCAAACAGG
rnacentral:rRNA from 1 species